rnacentral:misc_RNA from 1 species
GAUGAAGAACGUAGUGAAAUGCGAUAAGUAAUGCGAAUUGCAGAAUUCAGUGAGUCAUCGAAUCUUUGAACGCACAUUGCGCCCCUUGGUAUUCCGAGGGGCAUGCCUGUUCGAGCGUCAUUAUAACCCCUCAAGCUCAGCUUGGUGUUGGGGCCUGCUGCACUGGCAGCCCUUAAAAUCAGUGGCGGCGCCAUCUGGCUCUAAGCGUAGUAAUUCUUCUCGCUAUGGAGUCCUGGUGGAUGCUUGCCAUCAACCCCCAAUUUUUCUAUGGUUGACCUCGGAUCAGGUAGGGAUACCCGCUGAACUUAAGCAUAUCAAUAAGCGGAGGA